GUAGGGUUUGGGGAGGGAGCUGUGUGGUGUUUCUUGUGCUUGGAAAAUACAAAGCUGAGAACCACAGCACACAUGGGUGGUGCCCUUCCAGGUGAAGGACCUUCCUGGAGCAGAGCCCCUUCGCUUUCAGAAGGGCCGGGUUGAGUUUGAGAACGUGCACUUCAGCUAUGUCGAUGGGUGAGGCCUUCCUUUGGCUUCCUUUGCUUUUCCGUUCAUUUGCACACUGCCUUCCUGCUUCUCACUGCUCUGAAUCCCUGCUUUUGGAAGAGAGCCUGGGCAGGGGAGGGGCAGGGCCUACUAGCAGCUCUGGUGAUGGAAGGUGCCUGCUGAGCAACCCACCCUUCCUUGUAGGCAGGAGACUCUGCAGGACGUGUCUUUCACUGUGAUGCCUGGACAGACACUUGCCCUGGUGGGCCCAUCUGGGGCAGGGAAGAGCACAAUUUUGCGCCUGCUGUUUCGCUUCUAUGACAUCAGCUCUGGCUGCAUCCGAAUAGACGGGCAGGACAUUUCACAGGUGACCCAGGCCUCUCUCCGGUCUCACAUUGGAGUUGUGCCCCAAGACACUGUCCUCUUUAAUGACACCAUCGCUGACAAUAUCCGUUACGGCCGUGUUACAGCUGGGAAUGAUGAGGUGGAGGCUGCUGCUCAGGCUGCAGGCAUCCAUGAUGCCAUUAUGGGUUUCCCUGAAGGGUACAGGACACAGGUGGGCGAGCGGGGACUGAAGCUGAGCGGUGGGGAGAAGCAGCGCGUCGCCAUUGCCCGCACCAUCCUCAAGGCUCCGGACAUCAUUCUGCUGGAUGAG
rnacentral:sRNA from 1 species